UUGUUGCUGAUUCUUACCUCGGACGCUACCGCACCAUUGUCGUUGCUUCACUCCUCUACAUCUUGAGUGGUAGUGGCAGGCUAGUGAGGGUAAUGCAGGUUAUGCAGCAGCUCUUGUAGGCUAGCUAGAUGUGCAAGUUCUGCUCUGCUUUGGCAAGAGGAGCCUCUUCAUUUUAUUGUCUUGAAAAAAACCAAGGUGUUACCAUUCUUUAUCUAAAUUGGAACAAGGACUUGGCUUGUUUACUGUCUCGCCCUUGCUUCCUUCUCUUAGCGCUUCUGACUGAGAAAACCGCUCAGUCAACACCAUGUUCUUCUCGUCUCCAAGAAUUGUUAUUCUUCUAUCUGGUUGCUGUCGGGAUGGACACAAGCCUUGCAUUCAGGCUUUUGGAGCUCAUCAGUUUAGUGGACAAGAUGCAGAGGAAUGCAGAACCAAAAGCUCAUUCUUCAAUUGGUGGUAUUUUGGUUUAUGUGCAGGUCUCUUGUGUACAUAUUUUUCGUUAUUAGCCUACGUUCAGGACAACCUGAGCUGGGAUCUUGAUUUUAGAAUUCCUUGUAUUCUGAUGGUCUUCGCAUUGCCUAUUUUCCAUCUUGAACUAGAACUUAGCGAUAUAGCGUCACCGGGGAUGAGAAAGCCGGUUUGUGAGAAUUGGUAA